CUUUCCCUCUGGCGGCAGGCCUAACACAUGCAAGUCGAACGGUAACAGGAAGCAGCUUGCUGCUUCGCUGACGAGUGGCGGACGGGUGAGUAAUGUCUGGGAAGCUGCCUGAUGGAGGGGGAUAACUACUGGAAACGGUAUCUAAUACCGCAUAAUGUCGCAAGACCAAAGAGGGGGACCUUCGGGCCUCUUGCCAUCGGAUGUGCCCAGAUGGGAUUAGCUUGUUGGUGGGGUAACGGCUCACCAAGGCGACGAUCCCUAGCUGGUCUGAGAGGAUGACCAGCCACACUGGGACUGAGACACGGUCCAGACUCCUACGGGAGGCAGCAGUGGGGAAUAUUGCACAAUGGGCGCAAGCCUGCUGCAGCCAUGCCGCGUGUAUGAAGAAGGCCUUCGGGUUGUAAAGUACUUUAAGCGGGGAGGAAGGUAGUAAAGUUAAUACCUUGGCUCAUUGACGUUACCCGCAGAAGAAGCACCGGCUAACUCCGUG
rnacentral:rRNA from 1 species